UACGUAUGGGGCAAGCGUUAUCCGGAUUUACUGGGCGUAAAGGGAGCGUAGGCGGCCUGGCAAGCCUGAUGUGAAAUACCGGGGCCCAACCCCGGGGCUGCAUUGGGAACUGCCAGGCUGGAGUGCCGGAGAGGCAGGCGGAAUUCCUAGUGUAGCGGUGAAAUGCGUAGAUAUUAGGAGGAACACCAGUGGCGAAGGCGGCCUGCUGGACGGUGACUGACGCUGAGGCUCGAAAGCGUGGGGAGCAAACAGG
rnacentral:rRNA from 1 species